rnacentral:misc_RNA from 1 species
GAUGAAGAACGCAGUGAAAUGCGAUAAUUAAUGUGAAUUGCAGAAUUCCGUGAAUCAUCGAGUCUUUGAACGCACAUUGCGCCUCAUGGCAUUCCGUGAGGCAUGCCCAUCUCAGCGUUAGAAAAUAUUCUCAAAUUUUAGUUUUGUGCUAAAAUUUGGAUCAUGUCAAAGAAGCUAUUACUAUUAUUGUGAUCGCUCUUUGGAAAUUGAUAGGUCUUUGAGUUGCUACUCAUAGAACGUGAUGAAUCUUUCUUCGUUCUAUUGUAAUUCACUCUGGUAGUCCUAAAACUUGUAUGCCUGUAGUAUAUCUUGUAAUUUGACCUGAGAUUGGGUAGGGAUACCCGCUGAACUUAAGCAUAUCAAUAAGCGGAGGA